GCGCCGGAUCUCGUCUGAUCUCGGAAGCUAAG
rnacentral:rRNA from 1 species